CCAAUAGCGUAUAUUAAAGUUGUUGCAGUUAAAAAGCUCGUAGUUGAAUUUCGGGAUCAGUAGGUCGGUCGUGCCACAGGUAUGCACUGGUCUCACUGGUUCCUCCUUCCUGAUGAACCGUAAUGCCAUUAAUUUGGUGUUGCGGGGAAACUGGACUGUUACUUUGAAAAAAUUAGAGUGUUUAAAGCAGGCUAACGCUUGAAUACAUUAGCAUGGAAUAAUGAAAUAGGACGUUCGAUCCUAUUUUGUUGGUUUCUAGGAUUGACGUAAUGAUUAAUAGGGAUAGUUGGGGGCAUUAGUAUUCAAUUGUCAGAGGUGAAAUUCUUGGAUUUAUUGAAGACUAACUACUGCGAAAGCAUUUGCCAAGGAUGUUUUCAUUAAUCAAGAACGAAAGUUAGGGGAUCGAAGACGAUCAGAUACCGUCGUAGUCUUAACCAUAAACUAUGCCGACUAGGGAUCGGAUGAUGUUAAUUUUUUAAUGACUCAUUCGGCGCCUUACG
rnacentral:rRNA from 1 species